UACGUAGGGUGCGAGCGUUAAUCGGAAUUACUGGGCGUAAAGCGUGCGCAGGCGGUUCGUUGUGUCGGUGGUGAAAUCCCCGGGCUUAACCUGGGAAUGGCCAUGGAAACUGGCGAACUGGAGUGUGGCAGAGGGGGGUGGAAUUCCGCGUGUAGCAGUGAAAUGCGUAGAGAUGCGGAGGAACACCGGAUGGCGAAGGCAGCCCCCCUGGGCUAACACUGACGCUCAGGCACGAAAGCGUGGGGAGCAAACAGG
rnacentral:rRNA from 1 species